rnacentral:rRNA from 1 species
CCUACGGGAGGCAGCAGUAAGGAAUAUUGGUCAAUGGAGGCAACUCUGAACCAGCCAUGCCGCGUGCAGGAAGACUGCCCUAUGGGUUGUAAACUGCUUUUAUACGGGAAUAAACCUUGAUUCGUGAAUCGAGCUGAAUGUACCGUAAGAAUAAGGAUCGGCUAACUCCGUGCCAGCAGCCGCGGUAAUACGGAGGAUCCAAGCGUUAUCCGGAUUUAUUGGGUUUAAAGGGAGCGUAGGCGGCCUAUUAAGUCAGGGGUGAAAGACGGUGGCUCAACCAUCGCAGUGCCUUUGAUACUGGUAGGCUUGAAUGUAGUUGAGGUAGGCGGAAUGUGACAAGUAGCGGUGAAAUGCAUAGAUAUGUCACAGAACACCGAUUGCGAAGGCAGCUUACUAAGCUAUGAUUGACGCUGAGGCUCGAAAGCGUGGGGAUCAAACAGGAUUAGAUACCCUGGUAGUCCACGACCUAACCGAUAGAUAACUACGUAUGUUGGUCGGAUAUACAGUCGAGCGUCCGACGACGAAGACGUUAAGUUAUUACCUACCGUCGGGAGGUACGCCCGCCGACGGUAGGAACGUACGAAAGUAGAAGUUAGUACGGCGUGAGACGUUACGCCGACGGACGACGACGAGGGGAGGUAGGG